GACGGAGGAUGCAAGCGUUAUCCCGGAAUGAUUGGGCGUAAAGCGUCUGUAGGUGGUUUAUUAAGUCUACUGUUAAAGAUCAGGGCUUAACCCUGAGCAGGCAAUAGAAACUAAUAAGCUAGAGUACGGUAGGGGCAGAGGGAAUUCCCGGUGUCAGCGGUGAAAUGCGUAGAGAUCGGGAAGAACACCAACGGCGAAAGCAACUCUGCUGGGCCGAAACUGACACUGAGAGACGAAAGCUAGGGGAGCGAAUGGG
rnacentral:rRNA from 1 species